rnacentral:tRNA from 1 species
UAAGAUCUGCAGGACAUUACCCCACAUCUUCUGUAUGCAAAACAAAUACUUUAAUUAAGCUAAGACCUU